AGUGAACGCUGGCGGUAGGCCUAACACAUGCAAGUCGAACGGCAGCACAGUAAGAGCUUGCUCUUACGGGUGGCGAGUGGCGGACGGGUGAGGAAUACAUCGGAAUCUACUUUUUCGUGGGGGAUAACGUAGGGAAACUUGCGCUAAUACCGCAUAUGACCUACGGGUGAAAGCAGGGGAUCUUCGGACCUUGCGCGAUUGAAUGAGCCGAUGUCGGAUUAGCUAGUUGGCGGGGUAAAGGCCCACCAAGGCGACGAUCCGUAGCUGGUCUGAGAGGAUGAUCAGCCACACUGGAACUGAGACACGGUCCAGACUCCUACGGGAGGCAGCAGUGGGGAAUAUUGGACAAUGGGCGCAAGCCUGAUCCAGCCAUACCGCGUGGGUGAAGAAGGCCUUCGGGUUGUAAAGCCCUUUUGUUGGGAAAGAAAAGCAGCAGGUUAAUACCCCGCUGUUCUGACGGUACCCAAAGAAUAAGCACCGGCUAACUUCGUG
rnacentral:rRNA from 1 species